rnacentral:SRP_RNA from 1 species
UCCAGGCGCAGUGGUGUGUUCCUGUAGUCCUAGCUACUUGGAAGGCUGAGGUGUGAGGAUCACUUGAGCCCAGGAGUUCUGGGCUGUAGCGUGCUAUGCCGAUCGGGCGUCCGUACUAAGUCUGGCAUCAAUAUGGUGACCUCCCGGGAGUGGGGGACCACCAGGUUGCCUAGGGAGGGGUGAACCGGCCCAGGUCAGAAACAGAGCAGGUCAAAACUCCCAUGCUGAUCAGCUGUGGGAUUGCACCUGUGAACAGCCACUGCACUCCAGCCUGGGCAACACAGCGAGACCCCAUCUC